rnacentral:rRNA from 1 species
UACGUAGGGUGCGAGCGUUGCCCGGAUUUAUUGGGCGUAAAGGGCGCGUAGGCGGCUUGCCAAGUCAGUGGUGAAAUCUUUCGGCUCAACCGGAAAAUGGACUGCUGAUACUGGCGGGCUGGAGGGAGGUAGGGGCAGAUGGAACUUCCGGUGGAGCGGUGAAAUGCGUAGAUAUACAGGAGGAACACCGGUGGCGAAGGCGGGUCUCUGGGCCGAUACUGACACUGAGGAGCGAAAGCGUGGGGAGCGAACAGG